GGGCUUGUGGUUUAGUGGUAUAAUACUCCCUUAGCACCAUUCGGUAUAAGUUCAUAACAUUGCCAUUACGCUUGGGAGUGGUCCGGGGUUCGAUUCCCCGCGAGUCCA